AGUGAACGCUGGCGGUAGGCCUAACACAUGCAAGUCGAACGGCAGCACAGUAAGAGCUUGCUCUUACGGGUGGCGAGUGGCGGACGGGUGAGGAAUACAUCGGAAUCUACUUUUUCGUGGGGGAUAACGUAGGGAAACUUACGCUAAUACCGCAUACGACCUACGGGUGAAAGCAGGGGAUCUUCGGACCUUGCGCGAUUGAAUGAGCCGAUGUCGGAUUAGCUAGUUGGCGGGGUAAAGGCCCACCAAGGCGACGAUCCGUAGCUGGUCUGAGAGGAUGAUCAGCCGCACUGGAACUGAGACACGGUCCAGACUCCUACGGGAGGCAGCAGUGGGGAAUAUUGGACAAUGGGCGAAAGCCUGAUCCAGCAAUACCGCGUGGGUGAAGAAGGCCUUCGGGUUGUAAAGCCCUUUUGUUGGGAAAGAAAAGCAGCAGGUUAAUACCCCGCUGUUCUGACGGUACCCAAAGAAUAAGCACCGGCUAACUUCGUG
rnacentral:rRNA from 1 species